rnacentral:rRNA from 1 species
GGUUGCAAUCAUACCAGCACUAAUGCACCGGAUCCCAUCAGAACUCCGUAGUUAAGCACGCUUGGGCGAGAGUAGUACUAGGAUGGGUGACCACCUGGGAAGUCCUCGUGUUGCAACCC